UGAAUACCUUCCCUCUCUCAAACUCUCUCAAAGUUCCUGAAACCCUAAUCGUCUUCUACCAUUUUCGACCACAAACUCGCCGGAAUCCAUGGCCUCUUAUGUCAUGGAUAGCCUAUAUUCAUCUCCCUCCACUCUUCAAAGCUUGGAGCUCGAAGUUCGUGGUCUGACCUCGAUGGUGUCGUUCGUAUCUUCUCCGAUUCAAGGUUCCAUGGCCCCUCCGACUUUGCUCCGGCGUAUCCAAGGCAUUUUGAGCCUGGUUCUGACUUAUCCGACUCAGAUCGGACUUUUUCCAAGCCUUUCUCGCAUCAGGGUUCCUCUGAAACACUAGUUACUCGAGGUUUUCUCUGGAUUUUCUUAGAUUUUCUAUAUAUCUG
rnacentral:lncRNA from 1 species